CCUACGGGAGGCAGCAGUGAGGAAUAUUGGUCAAUGGGCGGGAGCCUGAACCAGCCAAGUCGCGUGAGGGAAGACGGUCCUAUGGAUUGUAAACCUCUUUAGGCGGGGAGCAAUGCCGGGCACGCGUGCCCGGAGGGAGAGUACCCGCAGAAUAAGCAUCGGCUAACUCCGUGCCAGCAGCCGCGGUCAUACGGAGGAUGCGAGCGUUAUCCGGAUGUAUUUGGUUUAAAGGGUGCGUAGGCGGAUUUUUAAGUCAGCGGUAAAAUGUCCGGGCUCAACCCGGGCCGGACGUUGAUACUGGUGAUCUUGAGUGGGCGAGAAGUAUGCGGAAUGCGGGGUGUAGCGGUGAAAUGCAUAGAUAUCACGCAGAACUCCGAUUGCGAAGGCAGCAUACCGGCGCCCGACUGACGCUGAGGCACGAAAGCGUGGGGAUCGAACAGGAUUAGAUACCCGGGUAGUC
rnacentral:rRNA from 1 species